rnacentral:rRNA from 1 species
GGGUCAGUAGGUUGGUCGUGCCACCGGUACGUACUGGUCUCACUGAUUCCUCCUUCCUGAAGAACCGUAAUGCCAUUAAUUUGGUGUUGCGGGGAAACAGGACUGUUACUUUGAGAAAAUUAGAGUGUUUAAAGCAAGCUAACGCUUGAAUACAUUAGCAUGGGAUAAUGAAAUAGGACGAUCGAUCCUAUUUUGUUGGUUUCUAGGAUUGACGUA